UACGUAGGGUGCGAGCGUUGCCCGGAUUUAUUGGGCGUAAAGGGCGCGUAGGCGGCUCUGCACGUCCAUUGUGAAAUCGCCCGGCUCAACUGGGCGGGGUCAGCGGAUACGGCGGAGCUUGAGCAAGCUAGGGGGCAAUGGAAUUCCCGGUGUAGUGGUGGAAUGCGUAGAUAUCGGGAGGAACACCAGUGGCGAAGGCGGCUUCCUGGCCUGUUCUUGACGCUGAGGCGCGAAAGCUAGGGGAGCAAACGGG
rnacentral:rRNA from 1 species